rnacentral:rRNA from 1 species
UACGAAGGGGGCGAGCGUUGUUCGGAUUUACUGGGCGUAAAGGGCGCGCAGGCGGUUCUGUUUGUCGAGUGUGAAAUCCCCGGGCUCAACCUGGGAACUGCCUUUGUGACUGCAAGGCUAGAGUACGGCAGAGGGAGAUGGAAUUCCGCGUGUAGCAGUGAAAUGCGUAGAUAUGCGGAGGAACACCGAUGGCGAAGGCAAUCUCCUGGGCCUGUACUGACGCUCAUGCACGAAAGCGUGGGGAGCAAACAGG